rnacentral:misc_RNA from 1 species
GAUGAAGAACGUAGCGAAAUGCGAUAAGUAAUGUGAAUUGCAGAAUUCAGUGAAUCAUCGAAUCUUUGAACGCACAUUGCGCCCGCCAGCAUUCUGGCGGGCAUGCCUGUUCGAGCGUCAUUUCAACCCUCGAGCCCCCCCGGGGGCCUCGGUGUUGGGGGACGGCACACCAGCCGCCCCCGAAAUGCAGUGGCGACCUCGCCGCAGCCUCCCCUGCGUAGUAGCACACACCUCGCACCGGAGCGCGGAGACGGUCACGCCGUAAAACGCCCAACUUCUUAGAGUUGACCUCAGAUCAGGUAGGAAUACCCGCUGAACUUAAGCAUAUCAAUAAGCGGAGGA